UACGUAGGGUGCGAGCGUUGUCCGGAAUUACUGGGCGUAAAGAGCUCGUAGGUGGUUUGUCGCGUUGUUCGUGAAAACCGGGGGCUUAACCCUCGGCGUGCGGGCGAUACGGGCAGACUUGAGUACUGCAGGGGAGACUGGAAUUCCUGGUGUAGCGGUGGAAUGCGCAGAUAUCAGGAGGAACACCUGCGGUGUAGACGGCUUACUGGACGGUAACUGACGCUGAGGCACGAAAGCGUGGGUAGCAAACAGG
rnacentral:rRNA from 1 species